AGGCAGCUCCCUCCCUCCCUUCCUCCCCCUCUGUGGCUGCAGGAGGGCGCUGAGGAACUUGGGGAGUUGGGAGCCUCGCUCCCAGCCUCACCUCCACCUCCACCUCCUGCAGGAACAGAAAGACUUCUCGGAGCUCGGGCAGCUCCCCUUCAGCCGCCCGGGCAGCGCCAUUGCCCGAGCCCCAUCCCCUCCCCUCCCCUCCCCUCCCCCCAGAGCGGCGAAAGCGGCGGCGAGCGUCUCUGGCUUCCCCUCCCCCUCUGCACGAAGCCGCUUCAGCGGCGCCUCCAGCCCCAGCCGCCGCCGCCGCCCGCAGCUCAGCAGCGUCUCUCCAUCCCGCUCGCCGCUAGACUCACUUCAGUACACUUUGAGAUGCCGGGACCAGCAGCUGCCGGCAUAGCGCGGCUGCAGAGGGACGGGGCGCGGCCCGAUCCGCGGCGUGAGUGCCUGCUUGCUCGGAAGUGAGUCCCACUGCGUUCAGUGGGGUUUACUCCUCGGCAGUGGUUUUCCCCCACACUACCUGGAGAUGUCAGAUCUACCUUCUUCACACAAAAUAUCCACUCAUACCAAGGAAAGGACGUUUGGAAGAACAGCUUAAGCAAACAACCUGCUUUCCUGAAUCCUUCCUGUACACACAAAAGAUGGAGACUGGUAGGACACUGCACCGCCACCUCCACGCUGUAAAUGAGUGCUACAGAUAACGGCCAGAGUGGCAGGUUACAAGACAGAUUGGAAUAAUAAAACCUUGUACCAGAGGAGUGGAUUUCCCAAUCAGUGAAAGGUACGGAGAAGCACAGAGGCCAAUUAAGAAGGGGAAAUGACAGACAGAUUUUCCUAUGAGCUGUGAUGUUGCAUUCUGAUUACAAACAAGAGAGAUUGAUCCCUGGGUGUGGUCUGAGGGCACAUGAUGGAGCCACCUUAUUGAUGCGUAAGUGGGUCUGGUGUGGUCAGUGCAUGGAUGCACUGCCUGGGAACCUCAGCCCAAAGGAAACCUCAGAAAAAUAAAGGAUACAGCCAAAAGAUCCACUCUUUUCCUUUCAGCUGGGAGUGCUGCUUGUUCAAGUUCUAGUUGAAAAUCCUGAUGCAACAAUGAAAUGUGACACAGUAAUUGAAACUGAAGGAAUUUGGUACCACUCCCCUCCAGUGUAGUUUCAUCCUUCAAAUUUAAAAAUGGCAAUUAAAAUUGUAGAUAUAAAACAACAUUCGGAAGGCACUGGGGUGGGGGGCAACAAAGUUUGUUCAAAGUCAAAAUUUUGCCCUGUAGUGUUUGACUACUGUUCGAAUUCAAGGUCACAUCCCUUAAUGUGACCUUGAAUGUGAUUAGCAUAACAACAAUGACCUGAAUUUCAUCAUCCGUCCUUUUACACCCAUUUCAGUUACAAGUAUAUGUUUGCCAAUUUGAUUCCUGAUUUGGCCAGCCUACACUAAGUGAGAACAUUUAUUUUAUUGCAAAGUGUGUUUUCUGGGAUUUAGAGAGCAUGGUUGUGCCUGUGUAAGGUGGGCAUGUGGGCACGCAGCUUCAGAGGAGUGGGGGGAAUCACUUGUUAAUGUCCUUGAUGCUUUGUGCAGGCAAGAAUACUCUUUCCUUGACCCUCCAUUAACUUUAGGAGAGCAGUUGUUGGUCUCCUAUAGAGCCCUUCUCAGUCAUAUGAUAAGCUCUCAGGAUAUGGCAAGCCAUUCUCUGUAGCAAAGUGCUGGAACUGUGAUAGCUCCUUACCUUCCUCUCCCACUGGGAUUCCUAUGAUUUGUAAAUUAUGUGUUCACCUUAUCUGUUUUUCUAACAGUUCCACCUCGAAUUGAUGAAUUUAUUAUCCUACUCAAACCAAGUGGAAAUAGAUAAGUAUUUGAGUUUAAAGUCCUCUUCUCUCCUUUCCCCCUGCUUCUCUCCCUCUCUUUUAUUGUCAGGACAGAUUGAUUUGCUAGUUGCUGCAGGCUGUCCGUUAAUUUGUUCAUUCUUUCAGUCUCGGCAUGCCACUGCCUUUACUUACCCAUGGGCAUACGGCAUGAAGUGUUCCAGGCUACUGAGAACUUCUUAAAUUAAUCAACUGAGAUUUGGAAGCAGAGCAAGUCGCAUAGUUACAGUUUUACAGAAGAGAAAUGUAAAGAAGAUUUUCCCAGGAGCCACAGUGAGUGGUGCCAUCACGAGCACUGAUUGCCUUGCACAGAAUGGCCAAUCGUUUUGGUAUGGGUGCCCCAAGUCAAGUCCAAAAAAUACAGUGCAAUACUAAUGUACUCAGCAGAACAUAUGCAUACCUUCUGUAUUUUGAUGUGGUUUUGCCUGUGGUUUGCAUUAAUAAACAACGCAUUGUUUUAUCUUCUCA